rnacentral:rRNA from 1 species
AUUGAACGCUGGCGGCAUGCCUUACACAUGCAAGUCGAACGGCAGCACGGGUGCUUGCACCUGGUGGCGAAUGGCGAACGGGUGAGUAAUACAUCGGAACGUACCUUAUCGUGGGGGAUAACGCAGCGAAAGUUGCGCUAAUACCGCAUACGCCCUGAGGGGGAAAGCGGGGGACUGUAAGGCCUCGCGCGAUUAGAGCGGCCGAUGUCUGAUUAGCUUGUUGGUGAGGUAAAAGCUCACCAAGGCGAUGAUCAGUAGCUGGUCUGAGAGAACGAUCAGCCACACUGGGACCGAGACACGGCCCAGACUCCUACGGGAGGCAGCAGUGGGGAAUUUUGGACAAUGGGGGCAACCCUGAUCCAGCAAUGCCGCGUGAGUGAAGAAGGCCUUCGGGUUGUAAAGCUCUUUCGUCAGGGAAGAAACAGCAGCUCUAACACAGUCUGCGAAUGACGGUACCUGAAGAAUAAGCACCGGGUAACUACGUGCCAGCCGCCGCAGUAA